rnacentral:tRNA from 1 species
GCCUGGGUGGCUCAAUCAGUGGAGCGUGUGACUCUUGAUCUCAGGGUUGUGAGUUCGAGUCUCAUGUUGGGUG